AGCUGCUGGCCACUGCACAAGAU
ensembl:ncRNA